rnacentral:rRNA from 1 species
GACGAACCGUACGAACGUUAUUCGGAAUCACUGGGCUUAAAGGGUGCGUAGGCGGCGCUGUAAGUUGGGUGUGAAAUCCCUCGGCUCAACCGAGGAACUGCGCCCAAAACUACAGCACUUGAGGGAGAUAGAGGUGAGCGGAACUUAGGGUGGAGCGGUGAAAUGCGUUGAUAUCCUAAGGAACGCCAGUGGCGAAAGCGGCUCACUGGGUCUCUUCUGACGCUGAGGCACGAAAGCUAGGGUAGCGAACGGG